rnacentral:tRNA from 1 species
UGGCAGAGUGGUCGAAUGCACUGGUCUUGAAAACCAGCGACGGGUUAAACCGUCCCAGGGUUCGAAUCCCUGCCUCUCCGCCA